rnacentral:rRNA from 1 species
GGGGCCCGCACAAGCGGUGGAGCAUGUGGUUAAUUCGAAGCAACGCGAAGACCUUACCAGGCCUUGACAUGCAGAGAACUUCCAGAGAUGGAUUGGUGCCUUCGGGAACUCUGACACAGGUGCUGCAUGGCUGUCGUCAGCUCGUGUCGUGAGAUGUUGGGUUAAGUCCCGUAACGAGCGCAACCCUUGCCUUUAGUUGCCAGCAGUUCGGCUGGGCACUCUAAAGGGACUGCCGGUGUUAAACCGGAGGAAGGUGGGGAUGACGUCAAGUCCUCAUGGCCUUUAUGACCAGGGCUACACACGUACUACAAUGGCCGAUACAAAGGGCAGCGACACUGCGAGGUGAAGCCAAUCCCGUAAAAUCGGUCUCAGUCCGGAUUGGAGUCUGCAACUCGACUCCAUGAAGUUGGAAUCGCUAGUAAUCGUGGAUCAACAUGCCACGGUGAAUACGUUCCCGGGCCUU